CAAGUCGAGCGAACGGACGAGAAGCUUGCUUCUCUGAUGUUAGCGGCGGACGGGUGAGUAACACGUGGAUAACCUACCUAUAAGACUGGGAUAACUUCGGGAAACCGGAGCUAAUACCGGAUAAUAUUUUGAACCGCAUGGUUCAAUAGUGAAAGACGGUCUUGCUGUCACUUAUAGAUGGAUCCGCGCUGCAUUAGCUAGUUGGUAAGGUAACGGCUUACCAAGGCAACGAUGCAUAGCCGACCUGAGAGGGUGAUCGGCCACACUGGAACUGAGACACGGUCCAGACUCCUACGGGAGGCAGCAGUAGGGAAUCUUCCGCAAUGGGCGAAAGCCUGACGGAGCAACGCCGCGUGAGUGAUGAAGGUCUUCGGAUCGUAAAACUCUGUUAUUAGGGAAGAACAUAUGUGUAAGUAACUGUGCACAUCUUGACGGUACCUAAUCAGAAAGCCACGGCUAACUACGUGCCAGCAGCCGCGGUAAUACGUAGGUGGCAAGCGUUAUCCGGAAUUAUUGGGCGUAAAGCGCGCGUAGGCGGUUUUUUAAGUCUGAUGUGAAAGCCCACGGCUCAACCGUGGAGGGUCAUUGGAAACUGGAAAACUUGAGUGCAGAAGAGGAAAGUGGAAUUCCAUGUGUAGCGGUGAAAUGCGCAGAGAUAUGGAGGAACACCAGUGGCGAAGGCGACUUUCUGGUCUGUAACUGACGCUGAUGUGCGAAAGCGUGGGGAUCAAACAGGAUUA
rnacentral:rRNA from 1 species